GUGUACUCUUUAGACGGUUCUA
rnacentral:miRNA from 1 species